rnacentral:rRNA from 1 species
ACACAUGCAAGUCGAACGGAGUUAUCUCAGCAGAAGUUUUCGGAUGGACGCAGGGAUAACUUAGUGGCGAACGGGUGAGUAACACGUGAGGAACCUGCCCUGGAGUGGGGGACAACAGAUGGAAACGACUGCUAAUACCGCAUAAGCCCACAGCACCGCAUGGUGCAGAGGGAAAAGGAGCAAUUCGCUUCAGGAUGGCCUGGCGUCCAAUUAGGUAGAUGGUGAGGUAACGGCCCACCAUGCCGACGAUUGGUAGCCGGACUGAGAGGUUGAACGGCCACAUUGGGACUGAGACACGGCCCAGACUCCUACGGGAGGCAGCAGUGGGGAAUAUUGCACAAUGGGGGAAACCCUGAUGCAGCGACGCCGCGUGGAGGAAGAAGGUUUUCGGAUUGUAAACUCCUGUCUUCGGGGACGAUAAUGACGGUACCCGAGGAGGAAGCCACGGCUAACUACGUGCCAGCAGCCGCGGUAAAACGUAGGUGGCAAGCGUUGUCCGGAAUUACUGGGUGUAAAGGGAGCGCAGGCGGGUCGGCAAGUUGGAGGUGAAAGCUGUGGGCUCAACUCACAAACUGCCUUCAAAACUGCCGGUCUUGAGUGGUGUAGAGGUAGGCGGAAUUCCCGGUGUAGCGGUGGAAUGCGUAGAUAUCGGGAGGAACACCAGUGGCGAAGGCGGCCUACUGGGCACUAACUGACGCUGAGGCUCGAAAGCAUGGGUAGCAAACAGGAUUAGAUACCCUGGUAGUCCAUGCCGUAAACGAUGAUUACUAGGUGUGGGAGGAUUGACCCCUUCCGUGCCGCAGUUAACACAAUGAGUA